GGUUCUAUGGUGUAAUGGUUAGCACCUGGGACUCUGAAUCCCAAGAUCCGAGUUCGAGUCUCGGUAGAACCU
rfam:Nematostella vectensis strain CH2 x CH6 NEMVEscaffold_80_Cont10967, whole genome shotgun sequence.